rnacentral:rRNA from 1 species
UUCCGUAUGUGAACCUGCGGAGGGAUCAUUAAAGAGUUCUAUAACUCCUAAACCCAUGUGAACAUACCUUACGUUGCCUCGGCGGGUCGUGCCUACCCUGUGGUCGCCUUACCCUGUAAGGCAUACCCGGUGGUCACGGGUAAGCCUGCCGACGGCCUAUGAAGAAAAGACUCUGUUUAGCAUUGAAUCUCUGAAAAACACAACUAAUUACGUUAAAACUUUCAACAACGGAUCUCUUGGUUCUGGCAUCGAUGAAGAACGCAGCGAAAUGCGAUAAGUAAUGUGAAUUGCAGAAUUCAGUGAAUCAUCGAAUCUUUGAACGCACAUUGCGCCCAUUAGUAUUCUAGUGGGCAUGCCUGUUCGAGCGUCAUUUCAACCCUUAAGCCCUCGUUGCUUAGUGUUGGGAGUCUACAGCUUGUUGUAACUCCCUAAAUCUAGUGGCGGAGUUGGUUCACACUCUAGACGUAGUAGAUUUAUUCAUUCUCGCCUUAAUUAAAGUUUGAGAACCUGGGCCC